UUUUUUUUUUUUAAGUUCAGCUAGCAAGAUCUAAGCAACGAUUCGACGAUUGGUACAAUGGAUCAGUACCAUUGACGAGUAGAAAAAUAUAUCUUAGAUUCAACUUGAUUUGAUGGCCAGUGACGGAAAUUGGAGAAAAAAAUUAUUUAAAUUUUGAUUCGUUGAUUAUAACGUUCAAAGUUGUUUCAUUAAAAUGAAAAACUAAACUAUAGAAGAGAAAUGAAAGAAGAGAUUUCGAUUGGUGCAAUAGUGCAAUCGAAAAAAGUCAUCCAAUAGUAAUUUAAUAGCCCAAUGACAUAAAUGAAAACUUUCGAAUAGUUCAGUAACUAUUUUAUAACUUUUUAAAGUUGAGUGACCAAAAUAUAAACUUACUAAUAAUGUAAUGAACUUAAGUGUAGUUCACCCUUAAAUUAAAUUAUUGGUUUGCAUUUAAUGUAUUAUUAUGGUAUAAAUUCAAUCCAUGUGUUUUAAUCUCAUUAAUAGUUGAACAUAUCGGUAAAACAAAUAAUUUUCAGAUUAAGGAUUUGACCUUAUCAAUGAUGAUUAAGGAUAAAAUAAAUUUUUAUCUACUUAAUAAUCAUAUAUUAUCAUAUAGUUAAGUAUCGAAACCUGCUAAUCAUGCAUCUAUUAGUUUGUGGACAUAUAAACUUAUUUCCAAAAGACUAUCUUCACAUAAUUGAAUUUUUUUAAUAAUUUCACUAUAGAUUUCGAUUGUACAUGCUCUUUUUUAACACAAUGCUUAAAAUUAUCCAUAGUCUCUCCCCAAUCCAUAGAUAGAAGGAUAAGCGCACUGAAACCCACGUCCUUCUGCAUUGAUAAUGUCGUAACCAUUUUUUUGGAAAAACGAGAAUCGGCUUGGAUUUUGAAAAUAAAAACGAAUAGAGGAGUCGCCACCAAUCCUUUUUGAUUAGGUGUGAUCGGGUCACCUUUAAAUUAACUAUUUUAAUAAAAGUUAAGAUUUAUCAAAAUGAUAAUUUUGGGUCUACGAAACUCAGAAAAUGAGUUCGAGAGUCGGUUACACAUGAGGAAGGAUUAGCACCCUCGAUACGCCCAAAAUUGGUACCUAGUUGAUUAAUUAAUGUCUUAAGAUCGAAGAUUGAAAACUUUGAAGACUUUUGAAAUACGAUCAUUCUUUGUAAAAAGCUCAGGUGAUAAAGACCUUCUCGUCUCAAAAUAUGAAAUGUCACAUCCAGUAAGUUAGGACAUGAUAUCUUAAAUUUCCGAGAGCGAGCUUGCCUUUUAUAAAAUCUGUGUAUUUUAUUAAAAGGGUAUUCGAUUAUUUAGAGUAAACGAGAGAAGUCGAAACCCAGUAAGUUAGGGCAUGUUUUCCUGAAUUUUCGAACACCGAAUAUUGUCUUUAUUUCAAAACAAAUUCUUAUUUUGAGAUGACAAAAAGUCAUACCCGGUAAGUUAGGGCACAACACUUCGCAUCUUCGAGAAUAAGCAUUUUUCAAAACUCGUAUAGCGAUUUAAAAUAGUAAUCCGUUAUUUAGGUUAAAUGAAAAAAAAUCAAAACCCAGUAAGUUAGGGCACGAUUGUCUCAAAUUACCAAAUACGGAAUAUCACUUUUAUGAAAGAUUUAUUUUAAGGUAUCAAGUAAAAAAAUAUAAUGUGAUUUAUUGAAAAAAUAUAAAACCAAAUCGUGGUGCUAAUACACAAUAAUAAGUGCGACAGUAUCAAUAACAAUGGUAUAAGUGAUUAUAAAAGGAUGAAAGCAAGGCUAGCAAUAUAGAAAUAUAAAACACAAGCAUAAGGCAAAUGAAAUGAUCGAAUAAAAAUAAAUAAAGCAUGGCAAAAUAAAAUGACAAUGAUGACGAAAACGAUAAAAAUAAUAAUAAUUUAAAUAAUAAUAGCAUAAAAUGAUAAUAAUAAAUGUGGUAUUAAAAUAUAUACGUGAUAAUAGAAAUGUAACGACCCAAAUUUUACCGUUACCGAAAAAGUGUAUUUUUGGAUCUCCGUUUCUAAAAAACGGAUUCGUAAAUAUUUAUUAAAAAUAUUUACGAAGUAAAAUGAGUGGUUAAUUAGAGUUUAAUUAAGUGAAUUUAAUUUAAUUAAUAGUAAUUAAGAAAAAGGACUAAAUUGAAUAAGAGGUAAAAGUUGAAUUAUAGAUUAAAAGAAAAUAAAAAGGACUAAAAAGGAAAUUAUACAAAAAGUAUAAAUUGAGGUGGUUUACCGUGAAGAAAAUCUAAGAUUUUUUUUAUGUUUAGUAUAUUAUUAUAUUAUUAUAUAAUAAAGAUAUUUUAUGUUUUAAUUAUAUUAUAUUAUAUUAUAUUAUAUUAUAUAAACUAAAGAAAGGAAAUAGAAACAGAAUGAAACGAAACAGAGAGCAGGGGAGAAAAAGAAAGAAAGAAAGGGAGAAAAGAGAAAAUUUAAGGUUUGAAGCUUUAAGCUUUAAUAGGUAAGUCAAUCAAGCCCUUUUUACUUAAUUUUGAUGUUUUAGAAGUUUUAGAACAAAGUUUUGAUGAAAUUAAGUUGAUAUUUUGAUAGUUAUUAGAUUUCUAGAUAUUUUCCAUGUUAAAUAAAAUGAUGAAUUAAGGGCUAAAUUGAUAGAAAUUCAAGUUAAAAAUGAUACAAGGAUUGAAUUGUAAAGUGAUUCAUAAGUUUUAUGCUUUAAGGACUAAAUUGAAAGAAUUUUUGAAAUUAUGGUUUUAUGAUGAAAAAUAGAUAAUUAUGUCUAAUUUUGGUUAAAAAUUGAGUAGAAAUAAAGUAUGAAUUAAGAUAGAAAAGUAAGUGAAUUUAGUUAGAAUUAAAUUGAAAUUAAAGUAGAAAAUCAACAUUUUGUACUAAGACUAUUUUGGACAGUAGCAAUAGUCUAAGUUUGAAAAAUCACCAAAAAUUGUAGAAAUUGAAUUAGAGGAUAAAUAAAAUAUUUAUUUAAAUCUUAUUGAGUCUAGUUUCUUAUAGAAGAAAUGGUAUAAGCAAUUGAAUUGUAAAUUAUGAGAUAUAAUGAAUUUUGUGAGACAAGGUCAGAAUGAAUUCGGGUUUCCCUGUUCUGACUUUGGAAAAUCACCAAAAAUUUAAUAAAAAUAAUUAGAGGCUUAAAGUUAUAUGUUUAUAAUCCCUAAUGAGUCUAUUUUCAGGAGAAAUCAAUGGGAAUAUUAUUCGAGUUCUGUACUGUGAGAUAAUUAAUUUUUAGUGAAGAAGAGUCGAAACUGUCAGACAGCAGAAUAGGGGUAAAUUUAAAGAAUAAACUGUAUUUAAUGGCUAAAUGAAAAAUUCUGAAAAUUUUAUGGUAAGAAUAUUUGUGAGUCUAGUUUUAGGAAAAAUUAGCGGAUAUUAAUUUAAAAUUCUGUAACUCAAGAUAUAAAUUAGUAAUGUAAUAAUGGUUAUGAAUUAUAUUAAAUUAUGAAUUAAUGUGAAAAAUUGAGAUAUAUAUAUUGAAUUGAAUGAGAUUGUGAAAAUUUGUGAAUAUAUGUAAUUAUUGGAAUGGUAUAUUAAGGAAAGAAUUAUUGAAUUGAGAAAGUGAAUUAUAAUUGAUACUGAACUAAGAUAGAAAUUAUACUGAAAAGUGAAUUAAAUACCCUAUUAACUAGUCGGACUGAGUCGGAUAUAAUUGGCAUGCCAUAGGAUUUAGAAGUGUUCAGGCACUGAGUGCCAUACUGGUGUGUUUGGUUGGAAUCCGCAUAUCCGCCAAAGUCCGAGUCUUGUUAAUAGGGAUAAAUAUGAAUAUUAAGUAAAAUUGAAAUAAGAAUUAAAUUCCCUAUUAACUUGUCGGGCUAGUCGGAUAUAAUUGGUAUACCAUAGGAUUGGAAGAGUACGGAAUUUAUUGGCUUUACCGAUCAGGGACUUUAUGUGCCGUAUUUUAGGCACUUAUGUGCUGGUUACUGUUACCGCUACUGCUACUGUUACCGAUUCGGCACUUUGUGUGUCGAAUAUUGUUACUGUUACCGUUACCGAUUCGGCACUUUGUGUGUCGAAUAUUAUUACUAUUACCGUUACCGAUUCGGCACUUUGUGUGUUGGAUAUUGUUACUGUACUGUUACUGUUACUGUUACUGUUCCGGAUUUGUUCCGAUGAGGUACUCUGUGUACCGUACUGCUACUGUUACUAUUACUGUUCCGGCUUCGACCGAUGUACUGGUGUGUUGAUUGAAUCCGUGAAUCCGUCUGAGUCCGAGUCAUGUUAAUAGGGGUAAAUAAAGGUAUAAAAUAACUGAUUAUUACUGAAUAAUUGACUGUUACCGGAUAAUUGACUGCUACUGGAUAUUAGACUGUUACUGAAUAAUUGAAUAUUACUGAAUAAUUGAUCAUUACUGAAUAACUGAUUGUCACUGAAUGAAUGACUGUUACUAAAUAACGUAAUUGUUACUGAAUAUCUGAUUUUACUGAAUAAUUGACUGUUACUGGAUAAUCGAUCAAUUGAUCGAUACUGAAUAACUGGUUAUUAUUGAAUAUUUGAUUGUUACCAAAUAACUGACUGUUAUUGAAUAAAUAAUUGUUCUGAGAGUUAAUGAACAUUACUGAUUGAUUAAUUGCUAUUGAAAAAUAAUAAAUGAUUUUGAAUUUAAAGUAGACCAAAACAUUAGUCGGAAAGUGAAUGUUUGAAUUCUCAUUGAGUUUGAAUAGUUCAAUAUAUAUAUAAAUUAAUAUGUUUUAUAAUUGUUUAAGUGUUCAGAUUAUAGAAAUACCACUGAGUGUAUACUCAGCGUACGGUUUGUUUCCGUGCGCAGGUUAAGUUAAGGCUAGACCGUUGAAUCAGCAUCCCAGGCCGAUCCCGAAUUCAAUGAGGUAAAGUAUGUUGAGCAUUGGUAAUGGAUGUACCCAGGAUGUUUAAUGAGAGUCAUUUAAGUUGUAAAAGUACUGAUGAAAUGAGUAAAUUAUGGUUGGCAACGAUAUGUAGUAUGAAUUUUGAAAUUUACUAAAAAUUCGUAGUGAUUCUAAAUUAGUCCCGAAUUGAAUUUACUGUUCAUAUUGGACCGCGAGGGCCCAUUAAAGGGACGACAUCUUAAAACUAGGAUGUGUGUGAAUAUUUAUUUUAAUUAAUGACCGGAAUUGGACUGUACUAAUUGGUAAUGUCUCGUAACCCUGUUUCAAUGACGGUAUAGGGUUAAGGGGCGUUGCAUUUAGUGGUAUCAGAGCUAUUCAGGUUUAGUCGAUUCUCGGACUAAAUCGAGCUCAGAAUUGAGUCUAGAGGUACAUGCCAUAAUUGAGUCGAAAUUGAGUCGGGAUCAGAUACUGAUAUAUUUGUUUAGUACUGUUUUAUAGUGAAAAUGUUAGAGGAAAAUAUCGAUGGUAUUGAUUAUGAAAUGUGUACUGGAGAUGAAUAGUCUCGUGAAUUAGAUGAAAACUGAAUCAACAACACUGGGUAUAAACUCAAUGGGUAAUUAAUUACUGAAUGAUGACUGAUGAAAUAAUAGAAAAAGAAAUGAUACAUAAUUAUUUAGAAUUAUAACUGAUGUUCUUCAGUGAGUAGAAGAAAUUGUAUCUGCUACAGUAUCUAUCCCUCCUGUUUCUUAAUCGGUUCCCGAAGUGCUUCAAGGUGUAGAGCUUGUCUGAACGGGUAAGUUAUCUGCUGUUAAUGAUAUGUACAUGUAUAUAUAUGGUGUGGAUGAAUUGAGUGUAACGGCCUAAUUUUCAGUGGUGUCGGAAAUGGUGAUUUGAGAUCACUAAAUUCGACAAAUAAGAUUGAACAAGAUAGUAAUUUAAUAUUUAUGAGUCAAGUAAGAAUUUAGAAGAAUUUGUGAAAUGGUGAAAUUAGUGAAUUAAAAGAAUUUAUUAGGUCAAACGGGUCAAAAAUGAGGUAUCGAGACCUCAAAGUUGAAAAUAAAGCUAUAAAUAUUUUUAUAAAUAUUUAUGGAGUGUCAUUGAGUUAGUAUUAAAGUUUCGUUAGAAAAUUUUAACGUUUGGAUGGCUAAUUAAUUAAAAAGGACUAAAUUGAAAAUAGCGCAAAAUUUGUUAAAUUGUGAGUAAAUAGAUUAAGUAUUUAAAAAGAUGGAUUUAAAGAGCAAUUAGACCCAAAGGUUAAUGGUUGGUUUGGGUAUGAAAUAAGCAAGAAAACAAUGUGAACAAGGGGCAAAAUUGGAAAUAGCAUAAAAGUUAAUAGUUAAAUAAUGAUGUAAUUGAAAAAUCUAGACAUUUCUUCAUAUUUUCUCAGCCAAAACGCUAUAGAAGGUCUGGAGAAAGCUGGUUUUUCAUAUUUUUACAUCAUGUGAGUUUAAUUCUUGCUUUUUCUUGAUAAUUUUUAUGUUUUUAUGACUUUUACAACUAGGUCCAUAUGUUUAAUUCAUUAGUUUUUGAUUAUAUGGAUAAUUUUGAAAGUUUCCAUGAAUAAGUGCUGAAAUUUUAUGAUGAUUUAUCAUGGAAUUGAGGUUUUAAUUCUAUUAUAUGAUGAUUUUAUGAAGAGAUUUCAUAGAAAUCAUUAUUUAGGACCUAAUUGUGAAAGUUAUAAAAUUAGGCUUUUGUGAUGAAACUUUGAAUGUCAAAGGCUGUGAAAUAGUUUAUAAUGUUUAAAUAAAGUGUUAUUUGAGAAGAAUUAGUUCAAUUGAUGAAUAAAUUGAGCAGGGACUAAAUUGUAAAAAUUGAAAAGUUUAGGGUAAUUGUGUAAUUUCGAAAAUUUAAGGGCAUAAAUUGUGAAAUAGAAUAGAAUUUAAAUGGAUGCUAAUGAAGGAAUGAUUUUAUAAUUAUAGAUCAAGAAAACGAACUGAAUCGUGGAAAGGAGAAAAUUCAAGAAUAGUCCCUGAAUUUCUACGACUUUUGCAAAUUAGUCCAGGUAAGUUCAUAUGGCAAAGUUCAAUGUUUUGAUAUGAAAAUCUUAUGAUUGUUAAAGUAUUUUAUUGUUGAUGAAUACUAUCAAUUUGCAUUAACUAAUAAAUAAUGUGUAACUAAAAGUACAAAUUAGUUGGAACAAUGGAUUUGAGUGCUUCUAUUCUGUGACCCUGAUGAAUUGACGAAAAAUAUGUGAUAAGUGCGCCCAUUUAAGACCAUAGCUGGGCUAUGGCAUCGGUGCAAUGUGAUAAUGUGACUCCGUAUAAGACCAUAGCUGGGCUAUGGCAUCGGUAUAAUGUGAUAAUGUGAUUCCGUAUAAGACCAUGUCUGGGAUAUGGCUUCGGUAUGAUAUGUGAACCGUGUAAGACCAUGGCAAGGCUAUGGCUUCGAUGUGUGAUGCGUAACAAUGUAAAAGUCCAUAGUUUACUAUGGCAAUGUGAUAAUGAAGCACUCAAUUCCCUUAUUGUUCCCUAAUUUGACAAUGAAGUAAAUGAGAAAUGGGCCUAAGGGAGUUAAAUUGUGAGUAGCCAUAUGGAAAUUAUUCCAAUGAGUUAUUAAAGAAAUUGUGAUUUGGAGGAUGAAAUAGUUAAACUAAUAGAUAUAUGAUUGUGUACAAUAUUUGAUAUGAUUUGUGUUUUUAUGCCUAUGAGCUUACUAAGCUUCAAUAAGCUUACUUGUGUGUGUUUGAUAAUUUCUUUUGUAGAUUGAAUUAAAGAGAAGUUGGUAGAUCGGAUCAACACAACAGGGCACACUAUUCAGAUCAAUUCCGGUAGUUUUUGUUUUAUGUUUAAAGAUUUAUAUGGCAUGUAUAGAGUUUGAAUGAAUUGAAGUAAAGAUGUUAUAAACUAGUUAACAAUAUUUGUACUAAAAUAGUUUUUGGUAAGUAGCAGUAGUUUGACUUUGAAAAAUCACUAAAAAUAGUAGAAAUGGAAUUAAAUAAUGAAUAAGUUAUGGAAUCGAAUCCUGAUGAGUCUAUUUUCAUAUGGAAGAAGCAAAACAGGUAUAUGAGCUAUAUUUUAUGAGAUGUUUAAAUUUUUGUGAAACAGGGCCAGAGCGAUUUCUGGAUCCCCUGUUCUGACUUUGGAAAUUCACCAUAAAUUUUACAAAGAUAAUUAGAAGUCAUACUUUAUAUGUACUGAUUCCUUAUUGAGUCUAGUUUUAUUAGAGACAAACGGCAUAGUCAUUGAAGCUCUGUACAGAGAGAUAUCUAAUUCGUAAUGCACAGAGGUCAGAGUAGUCAAACCCUGAAACAGGGGAGAUUUUAACUAAUAAACUGUACUAAUUGGCUUGACCAAAAAUUCUAGAAAAAAUUGGUAAGUAGAUAUAUGAGUAUAAAUUCUGGGAAAAUUUACGGAUUUGGAUUUUGAGUUUUAUAACUCGAGAUAUGAAUUAUUUAGCAACUAUGACGCAGUUGGACAGCUUGUCUGAAAAGUAUGAUAUAAAUUAUCUGAAUUUGGUUAAGUGCUCAAAUAAGUUUAGUAGUGCCUUGUGCUCGACUUCGGCAACGGUCUCGGGUAAGGGGCGUUACAUUGAGAAUUACAGUUGAGAAUGAUCUUGAAAGAAUUGAAAUCUGGUUAGAGAAUAUUAUCGGAAUUGUAAAUGAAUUGUUCUGUUCGCCGAUUAAAUGUUAGAAGGGUAUGAUAUUUCUGUUAAAAGAUUUAGGUUAUCAGUGGUAGAAAAUUUGAUUAUGUUGUGAUUAAGGGUUAUUUGGAAAUUUUCUGAGAUGAGUUCUAAAAGAAAUAUAUAUAUUAGUCAGAGAUUUCUUGAUCAGAAACGUAUAGAAUUCUUGAAGCUUAAACAGGAUCAUAUACCUACAACUGUGUAUGAAGGGAAUUUGUUUGAUUAAAUAAAUAUAUCAGAGGGUAUAUUCCGAUAGAAACUAUAAGGUACAAAUGGUUUUAAGAUGGUUUAAAAGAAGAUAAAAAGCUGAGGAAUGUAGAAUAAAUAGUGGAAUAUGUGAUUAGAUAUGAUUCUUCUGAUUAUUAUCUUAGUGAUUGCUUGAAAAAAAAAUUAAAAAAGACAUUAUUCAGAGUUCAAGACCGAGUAAUGUAGUUAACAGAGGUAGGUUACCCUGUAAUCUCAAAAAUACGAGUGAAAGCCGAAGUGUGACAAAUGAAUUCACUAUAAAAUCUGGAGAAUGAACAUCAGCCAGGGUAUAUGUUAAUUGUAUAUAAGAAGAUUUAUCUCUACCGAAUGUCAUUACAGGCACUUUCUUCUUUAUCGACACUAAUACGAUUAUUUUAAAUUGAUCUUGGUUUGACUAUUCCUAUGAUUACAUAAGUUCAGUAUCUAUUAAAGAUUUUCCUGUUGAGUUUGCUGAAAUUUUUUGUGUUGAAGCAUUAAAUUUUUCAGAUUAGUAUUUAUGGGCUGAUAAGAUCUGUAAGAACUGUUUGAUAAUGAUACUACUAUUUUCUGAUCGAUUUGAUGUUCUUACUGUUUGAUAUAAUCUCAAUAAUGGAAUGGUUAAUUCUGCAUGAUAUGGUGGUAAAUUAUAAGCAAAAGUAUAUUAUACUGCAAGGUUAGAAUGAUGAAAUGUUUUGUUGAAUCAGAGAAGAUUGAGCUAAUUGUCUAUUGUGAUAUUGAACAUGCCAACACAGAUAUAUGCCGGAAAGGGGUCAUGGUAUUUACCUUGUUUAUGUAUUGAAUAUUAAAGUAUUUAAGUUAAGGUUUAAAUCAGUGGCAAUAGUACAAGAGAAUUCUAAUGUGUUUCCAGAAGAGUUGCCCGAACUACUGUUGAUUGAAGAAGUUGAAUGUGCUAUAGAUUUUGUAACUGAAAUGAUAAUGAAAAAUAUAUUUGAAAUAAGAGGUUUUCUAAAACUAGUCGGUUAUUACAGAAAGAUGUGGAAUUGGAAUGAUCAGAUAGACGUUAGUAAGGUUCUGAUUAGUUGAAAGCUCAGUUAACUAAAGCACUAGUUUUGGUUCAGUCUGAAAUCUGAUAAAGAAACUUGUGAUUUACAGGGAUAGCAGUGUUUUGAUGCAAAAAAGAGAGAGUAAAGUAAUGGUUUAUGUUACGAAAUGUUAGAAUCACAUGGGAAGAAUUAUUUGAUACCUGAUUCGGAAGUGGUAGUUAUUGUUCUUGCAUUAAAAGAUCAAGAUAUGAUAAUUAAUUGUCAUCCGAAAAGACAAAUGAAUGUAUGUAUAUUCAAAUUGAAAGCUUUGUUUUGUGUUAUGAGCUAUGAACAUUUGACUGUUAUCAUUUGAAGAUGGAUCAAUUUUGGUAGAGAUAAAAAAAUUAAACCGACUUCUUUACAGCAGAUCUGUGAAGUUCAGAAAUGUGGUAAUGAGUUAUCAGUUAAAUGGAUAUAGUAUACAGAUGAUUUCUGAUUGAACAUUUCGGAUUGGAUAUGAUGGUUGUUUGCUAUUUAGAAAUAAAAGCUGAACAGAGAGAUUCAGAACUUAUACAGGAGAAUUUGCAUGAAAUUAUAGUAGUACUAUGUCUAUGCAUUUUGGAAGAAUAAGAUGUGCAGUGAUUUGAGACAGAUGUAUUGAAGACUGGAAAAAGAAAAGCAAUACUUUGAAUUUGCAUAUAAAUGGUUAUAUUAGGUACAGAUAUCUUCAGAACUGUUACAACCAGUGGUGACAUCAGAAUGGAAAUGGGAUAAAAUUUUUAUGGAGUCUAAGUUGGAAUUAUCUCUAUUUUUGAAAAAGAAUAUGCGGAGCUGUUUGAUUCGUGAAAUUGAAGAAAAGUGGAAGUAAUUCGAGAUAGACUGAAAGCAGUUUUGACAAACAGAAAUUAUAUAUAGACUUGAAAUGUUGGGAUAUUGAGUAUUUUGUUACUGAUAUGGUAUUUCUUAAAGAUUCACCUUGGAAGAACAUUUUGAAGAUCGGGUUGAAAGAGAAAUUAAGUUCUUGUUCUGUUGGGCUAUGUGAAGUUGUAGAAAAUUCGGACCGGUAAAAUAUUGUUUGGUUUUGCUUCUGAAGUUACAGAAAGUUUAUGAUAAUUUUUCAUGAUUUAAAGCUCAGAAGAUUAUAGAGAUCAAAUCUCUUGCAUGUUAUAUUGACAAAGGAUAUUGAGAUUUGAUGUAAUCUAUACUAUGAAAAAGAGCCGGUUGAGAUACUAGUCGAGCGAUAAUGUCAUAAUAUUGAGGAAACAAUAUGGGAACCGAGAGGAACAGCGAGAUCUUUGUACUUAUACCCCCGCCUCUCUCAGGUAAAUUUCGAGGACUAAAUUUAUAAAAGGGGGGGAGAAAUGUAACGACCCGAAUUUUACCGUUACUGAAAAAGUAUAUUUUUGGGUCUCCGUUUCUGAAAAACGGAUUCGUAAAUAUUUAUUAAAAAUAUUUACGAAGUAAAAUGAGUAGUUAAUUAGAGUUUAAUUAAGUGAAUUUAAUUUAAUUAAUAGUAAUUAAGAAAAAGGACUAAAUUGAAUAAGAGGUAAAAUUUGAAUUAUAGAUUAAAAGAAAAUAAAAAGGACUAAAAAGGAAAUUAUACAAAAAGUAUAAAUUGAGGCGGUUUACCGUGAAGAAAAUCUAAGAUUUUUUUUAUGUUUAGUAUAUUAUUAUAUUAUUAUAUAAUAAAGAUAUUUUAUGUUUUAAUUAUAUUAUAUUAUAUAAACUAAAGAAAGGAAAUAGAAACAGAAUGAAACGAAACAGAGAGCAGGGGAGAAAAAGAAAGAAAGAAAGGGAGAAAAGAGAAAAUUUAAGGUUUGAAGCUUUAAGCUUUAAUAGGUAAGUCAAUCAAGCCCUUUUUACUUAAUUUUGAUGUUUUAGAAGUUUUAGAACAAAGUUUUGAUGAAAUUAAGUUGAUAUUUUGAUAGUUAUUAGAUUUCUAGAUAUUGUCCAUGUUAAAUAAAAUGAUGAAUUAAGGGCUAAAUUGAUAGAAAUUCAAGUUAAAAAUGAUACAAGGAUUAAAUUGUAAAGUGAUUCAUAGGUUUUAUGCUUUAAGGACUAAAUUGAAAGAAUUUUUGAAAUUAUGGUUUUAUGAUGAAAAAUAGAUAAUUAUGUCUAAGUUUGGUUAAAAAUUGAGUAGAAAUAAAGUAUGAAUUAAGAUAGAAAAGUAAGUGAAUUUAUUUAGAAUUAAAUUGAAAUUAAAGUAGAAAAUCAACAUUUUGUACUAAGACUAUUUUGGACAGUAGCAAUAGUCUAAGUUUGAAAAAUCACCAAAAAUUAUAGAAAUUUAAUUAGAGGAUGAAUAAAAUAUUUAAUUAAAGCUUAUUGAGUCUAGUUUCUUAUAGAAGAAACGGUAUAAGCAAUUGAAUUGUAAAUUAUGAGAUAUAAUGAAUUUUGUGAGACAAGGUCAGAAUGAAUUUGGGUUCCCCUGUUCUGACUUUGGAAAAUCACCAAAAAUUGAAGAAAAAUAACUAGAGGCUUAAAGUUAUAUGUUUAUAAUCCCUAAUGAGUCUAUUUUCAGGAAAAAUCAACGGGAAUAUUAUUCGAGUUCUGUACUAUGAGAUAAUUAAUUUUUAGUAAAGAAGGGUCGAAACUGUCAGACAGCAGAAUAGGGGUGAAUUUAAAGAAUAAACUGUAUUUAAUGGCUUAAUGAAAAAUUCUGAAAAUUUUAUGGUAAGAAUAUUUGUGAGUCUAGUUUUAGGAAAAAUUAGCGGAUCUUAAUUUAAAAUUCUGUAACUCAAGAUAUAAAUUAGUAAUGUAUUAAUGGUUAUGAAUUGUAUUAAAUUAUGAAUUAAUGUGAAAAAUUGAGAUAUAUAUAUUGAAUUGAAUGAGAUUGUGAAAAUGUGUGAAUAUAUGUAAUUAUUGGAAUGGUAUAUUAAGGAAAGAAUUAUUGAAUUGAGAAAGUGAAUUAUAAUUGAUACUGAACUAAGAUAGAAAUUAUACUGAAAAGUGAAUUAAAUACCCUAUUAACUAGUCGGACUGAGUCGGAUAUAGUUGGCAUGCCAUAGGAUUUGGAAGUGUUCAGGCACUGAGUGCCAUACUGGUGUGUUUGGUUGGAAUCCGCAUAUCCGCCAAAGUCCGAGUCUUGUUAAUAGGGAUAAAUAUGAAUAUUAAGUAAAAUUGAAAUAAGAAUUAAAUUCCCUAUUAACUUGUCGGGCUAGUCGGAUACAAUUGGUAUGCCAUAGGAUUGGAAGUGUACGGGAUUUAUUGGCUUUACCGAUCAGGCACUUUAUGUGACGUAUUUUAGGCACUUAUGUGCUGGUUACUGUUACCGCUACUGCUACUGUUACCGAUUCGGCACUUUGUGUGUCGAAUGUUGUUACUGUUACCGUUACUGAUUCGGCACUUUGUGUGUCGAAUAUUGUUACUAUUACCGUUACCGAUUCGGCACUUUGUUACUAAAUUUUUGGGCUAAUUGGGUCAGAUUGGGAUUAGUUUUGGGUAGGUUUUGGUUGUUUGGGCUUCUGUUAGGCGUUUUUGUGUUUAGGGUUUUGGGCCCAAAAUUGGGCUUGUACAGACAACAACACACAUACCAAUCAAAUUAAGACUCAAUUGAACACAUAAUUGAAGUUUAAAAAAUACUAAAUAAAUAAAGAAUGUAUGGGCUAUAAGUAAACAAUUUGUAAUUAUUGUGAGGUUAUAUCAUACCACAAUAAUGGGUUCACGGGUUUGAUUUGGUGCUUAAGAAGAUUCUAUAUCCAAACUAUAGGUUUAAGUUUUUAUAUAUGCAUAUUAGUUGAUGUAAUUAGGUGUUAAGUGUUGUUUUUUAUAAACACUUGGAAUUUGAGAAUUGACAUUUGUUGUAAAUUCUUGGGGAUAAAGCGAUGAAAAAUUAUUGACGUUGAAGUAAUGCAGAUUGAUAUGGGUUGGGUUGAAGAAUUUAAUUCACAAUCUAAUUAAUAGCUUCUUUGAAAGAAAUCACUACCUGUAAUAAAUUCAACCUCACCUCCACAAACACUAACAAAUAGUGUAUAGAUCAAUGGGUAAUAACUAAAAAGUAACUAUGGCCUAUAUUGUUCUCCUUUGAGUUUAAUUACUCAAGCAUUUUUAGUGUUUUAAAUUAUUUAAAUUUACUUUGCCUUUAUUUAUUAUUGAGGUUGAAAAAUAUUUUUUAAUUUAAACUUUGGUUUCGAAUAAAAAAUUUUAAUAGACAAACAAUUUUUCAAAUCAAAUCUUAUUUUUAAUUCUGAAUUCUAACCCAAACUAAAAUUUUUAGAAAUGUUUUUUUUAAUGAAAUUACAUUUUUCUCCCCUAAUUAAAUUUUCUAAUUUAUAACAUCAUGUCUAAAAUGUCAUUUUAUUUCUUAAAAAUACUUUUUAAUAUUAGUGAUAAAUAUUAUCAAAAUUUUUAAAAACUCUUUUUUACAACAUUUUUCAACUAAAUUGAUAAGCUAACCCUUCUAAACUUACUUGAAACUAUCAUUUUUUUUUUCUUUUCUAUUCUCUUACUUCAAAACUAUAGCUAUUGAGACAGAUAUUAGUUCCCCAAUGGAAUUCAUACAUAAUUAAAGAAGAGCUCAACCCCAACCAAAUAUAAUAUAUCUUAUCUUAUGAUAAAUUUGAGAGUGCAUUAAUCAUUAAUUAUAUUAGAUAUGACACGAUCAUGAUGUGGGUAAAAAAUAUCAUAUAAUAAAUUUCUAAAAAUGGGUUGGUUGAAUCUUAACUCAAUUGGUAUCAAUAUUGUUGUUAGUACAACAAGACAUAGGUUCGUGCAUUAUCUUCUUAUUUAAGAGUUAGAGUGAGUUAUGAAUAAUUUUAAGCAUUAUAUAAAAAAAAUAAAUAUUAAGAAUUGUGAUAUGGUAAUUUUAAAAUAAUAAAAAUUAUAAUAUCUUGAUUUAAAUUCCAUAUGUAUUUUUUUUAAAUUACAGCUUAAUUAAAACUAAAUGCAUACAAGAAAUCAAAUAGUCAAAGGUUUCGAGGACAAGCAUGAUUUAUUUCUUGAAUUCUCAGCAUAUUGCAGUUUAGUGGAAAUCAAAAUGUAAAGCAAGUCCAAGGAAUCUUUGCAUUUUUGUGCAGUCAAACAAGCUUUUUUUUAAAUGUCUUUUUUAGUUUCCCAUUUGAGAAUGCUUACAUCUUCCUCACAGUCAUGGACCCAAAACUGUACUUCCUAAUGAGUUUCAACUCGUAUUAUCAAUUGCCAAGGUUACCCAUUUAAUAUUCUAAUCAUUAGAUGUCAACAACAAUAAAAUAAGAAAAAAAAAGACCUAAAAAAAAAUAAAAGAAUAAUAGAAUGAUCCUAAACUAUGUGAUUAAUUUUAAGCAUAUAAAAAAUUUAUCAUACACUUAUGUCUAUACAAUCACUAUCCUAACUCAAUAUAACUUAAAACUUUUGGGCAGUCAACACACUUUCUAUUUUACUUUUCUCUUGGGGAUUAACGCAGGUCUGAGUUGAGAGAAUUUGCAAAUUCUCAUUGCAUUUUUCUCGAUAGGACAAAAUUCUUGACUGAUUUGAUUGGGUUUAUUAUAAAUCUUUGUAUAUAUGUUUUCCCUUCAACCUCUAUAAAUUUUCUUUUUCUCCGAAUUGUAUGAUGAUUUCUAAUAAAAUCUGUAAAAGUCGUAUCAAUUUUCAAUAAAAUUGAGUUUCAAAUGAAAAUUAUAUUAUUCGCAAUACAUUUAUAAAAGUUAAUUUAUUACUUCUUAGUAUGAUAUUAAUAUAACUUAUUCACAAAUAACAAAUAUAAGAGGUAGACAUAUUUUGCACUACAUAUGAAAAAAUAAUUACAAACAUAAUAAAAUUAUAUAAGAUUUAUUGCCAUAACUAGAUGCAGAGAUUUUAUAAAUAAAUUGGUAAGGAAACAAGAAGUAAGGAAAUAAAACAAUGUUGCGGAAAGGAUCGAUUCGAGAACUCCGAUAUGACUACAAGUAAAUUGACCGAAACGAAAAAUAAAGUGAACACAAGGAUUUACGUGGUUCGGCUUUAAUGCCUACGUCCACGGGCAGAGGCGAAAAGAAAUUUCACUAUAACAAGAUGAAGAUUACAAGUGUUUUACACUCAAGACACAACCCGAGAACCUCACAACUCUCAACCCCUAUAGAAAACCCGAAAGCUAAAAUCCUAGCUUUCAAAGAACAAGCUUUUCUCUCUCUUGGUUUGGGAUGAUCAAUAUGGCUAAUGAACCUCUCUAUUUAUAAGAGAGUUCAAGGACAUAAUUGUCCAAAACUUUGGCAAAGAUUUGUGGUUGAAAAUGGACACCAACAACCAUCCACUAAUCCACUACCACCAACAACCCACUACCAACAACAACAAUCCACUACCAAUUUUAAGCCAUUUCUUAACAAAUCUCCACCUUGGCUUGAAAUUUACCAAGCUGAACAUCAUAGUGAACUGGAUCACCUCUUCCAAACGCCUCUCUGGCGCUAAUCAAUCCCGAAUACCUAUCAAGUCCAAGCAAUGCUUGAACUUAUAUGCAGGGAUCACCUUAGUUAACAUAUCUGCAGGAUUCUUCUCGGUAGCAACCUUGCUGAUAACAAUGUCACCUUGCGUAACAUGUUCCCGAACAAAAUGAUAUCUGACAUCAAUGUGUUUGGUCCGUUCAUGAAACAUCUGAUUUUUAGUCAGAUGUAUGGCACUCUGGCUAUCGCAAAAUACAACAGUGAAAUCCUGUUGUAAACCCAAACUGCUUACUAGACCUUUCAUCCACAAUGCUUCUUUCACUGCUUCUGCUAACGCCAUAUAUUCCGCCUCAGUCGUAGAUAAGGCUACGGUAGACUGUAACACAGCUUUCCAACUAAUGGCUCCUCCAGAAUAAGUGAAAACAUAACCCGUCAGAGAUCUUCUUUUGUCCAGAUCUCCAGCAUAAUCAGAGUCCGCAUAGCCCGUGACACUGCUAGUGCAGUCACUCUGAUCAUAUACCAAGCAUAAAUCUGCAGAACCUCUCAAGUACCUGAGAAUCCAUUUCACGGCCUGCCAGUGUUCCUUGCCAGGACAACUCAUGUAUCUGCUGACCACACUAACUGCAUGUGAAAUGUCUGGACGAGUGCAAACCAUUGCAUACAUCACGCUUCCAACUGCACUCGAGUAUGGAAUGUGAGACAUUUGCUGCUUUUCUUCAUCAGAUUGUGGUGACAACUCUGCAGAGAGUUUGAAAUGUGGUGCCAACGGAGUACUCACAGUUUUCGCUUUAUCCAUGCCGAAGCGUUGAAGAACCUUUUCAAUGUAGUUCUUCUGCGACACACGAAGCUUGCCCGCCUUGCGAUCUCUGUGAAUAUCCAUGCCCAAAAUUUUCUUGGCAGCACCCAGAUCCUUCAUCUCGAACUCACCACUCAACUGCGACUUUAACUUGUUGAUUUCCGACAUGUUUUUGGAAGCAAUUAACAUGUCAUCAACAUACAGCAACAAAUAAAUGUGCGAACCAUCUGAGAGCUUCCGAUGAUAGACACAAGCAUCAUAGUCACAUCUUGUGUAACCAUGCUGAAUCAUGAAGCUAUCAAACCGCUUGUACCACUGCCUUGGGGAUUGUUUCAAUCCAUAUAAAGACUUCUUUAAUAGACAGACAUGGUCUUCUUUACCAGGAACUGUAAAACCCUCUGGUUGACGCAUGUAGAUUGUUUCCUCGAGCUCACCAUGCAAGAACGCCGUUUUUACGUCAAGCUGCUCAAGUUCUAGAUCAGACUUGGCCACCAUGGCAAGUAAUAUACGAAUGGAAGAAUGCUUUACGACUGGGGAGAAAACUUCAUUGUAGUCAAUCCCCUCUUUCUGAGUGAAGCCUUUAGCAACCAAUCGUGCCUUGAAUCUAGUUGCUUCAACCCCUAGGAUGCCUUCCUUUUUCUUGAAGACCCAUUUGCAACCAACUAUCUUCUGGUUACUUGGCGGCUUAACCAACUCCCAAGUAUGGUUCUUGUGAAGAGAUUCUAUCUCCUCACUCAUAGCAAUUGCCCACUGUGCCGACUCAUCACACGUGACAGCCUCAUUAUAACUGGAAGGUUCUAUACCAAUGGACUCCGCCACACUGAGCGCGAAAGACACCAGAUUAGCGUAACGCGGAUUUGGUUUGAUUUGUCUCUUCGUUCUUCCAGUGGCAAUGCUAUAUGGUUUUUCUUGAGGUGACUCAUCUUCAUCGGAAUCUUGCACCUCAACUUGAUCAUCCUGGACUGAAGUACCUUCCGUAGGAAUUGGAGCGUCCACCUGACACUCCACCUGCUUCUCAACACCGUGAUCUCCCAUUCUAUCUGACUCCUCCUUUUCCCGGGAAUUUGUGGUGGAUCGAAGCAUGGAUGACUCAUCAAAAGUCACAUCUCUGCUGAUGAUGAACUUGGACGAAACCGGAUCAGGACACCACAACCUGUAUCCUUUCACCCCUUGGCCGUAUCCAAGAAAUAUGCAUUUCUUCGCCCUCGGUUUGAGUUUUCCCUCAUUUACAUGAGCAUACGCAGGGCAGCCAAACACUCUUAAACCAGAGUAAUCAGCAGGAGAACCAGACCAUACUUCCUCAGGAGUCUUCAGCUCAAUAGCUGUUGACGGAGAUCUGUUAACCAAAUAACAAGCAGUAUUAACAGCUUCAGCCCAAAAUUCUUCACCGAGCCCAGCAUUUGAUCGCAUGCAACGAGCUCGCUCCAAGAGAGUUCUAUUCAUGCGUUCUGCAACUCCAUUUUGUUGUGGUGUUCGACGAACAGUGCGGUGUCUCACUAUUCCUUCAUUCUUGCAGAACUCAUUGAAUUCACCUGAGCAAAACUCCAAGCCAUUAUCCGUCCGGAAUCGCUUGAUCUUCUUUCCUGUUUGAUUUUCGAUCAAAGCUUUAAAUUGCUUGAAGUUGAUGAGAACCUCAUACUUGCUCUUCAGAAAAUACACCCAAACCUUUCUCGAGUAAUCAUCGAUAAAGGUAAGCAGAUAUCUGUAACCACCUUUAGAAAUUGUCGGAGAAGGCCCCCAAAGGUCAGAAUGGAAGUAAUCCACUGUGCCUUUUGUCUUGUGAAUCCCAGUGCUGAACUUUACCCGAGUCUGCUUACCGAAGACGCAGUGCUCACAGAAAUUCAACUUUCCUGUACACUGCCCAGACAAUAAUCCUCGUUUGCUUAGCACCGAUAAGCCUCUCUCGCUCAUAUGCCCGAGCCGCAUAUGCCAUAACUUCGUGGUGUCAGAAUCUAGAUCAUCUGAUGAUGACACUCCCGCAACACCUGUAACCGAGGAACCAUCGAGGAAGUAAAGGCCCCGCUCCAAAUUACCACGUAUCACAGUCAAAGCACCCGAGAAUACCUUGAGAACUCCACCUUCAGCAGAGUACCGAAAGCCUUUCUUGUCCAACGUACUCAAAGAGAUCAAAUUUUUCUUCAUUUCUGGAAUGUGCCGAACAUCAGUUAGAGUUCUAACAAUACCGUCAAACAUCUUUAUACGAACUGUGCCAAUCCCCAUGACUUGACAUGCGUGGUCAUUUCCCAUUAGUACUGAACCAGAAUGCUUCUCGUAUGUUGAGAAUGCAUCUUUCGAAGUACUUAUAUGAAAUGUAGCUCCCGUAUCAAGAAUCCAUCUCCCACCAGCGUAAGAGUCGGAUACUGCAAGAACGAUCUCGGCAUCACUUGAAGAAUCUGCAUCAGCUACAUUCGCACGAUCAUUUUGUUGCUCCUGUGAUUCUGAUUUCUCCUUCCUUUUCGGACAAUCUACCUUCAUGUGCCCGUACUUCUUACAGUAGUAGCACUGUAUUCUCUUCUUGGACUGCGAUCUAGGAUGGCUUUUACUUGAACUUCCACCCUUUGCCUUGGAUCUUCCUCGAGCAACCAAGCCUUCGCCUUCAUUGUUUUCGACCACCUUACCAGUGAUUUUCUUCCUCAACUCACUGGAACUUAAGGCAUUUUUCACCUCCUCUAGAGUCAGGUCAUCACGACCGUACAUCAUUGUAUCAACAAAAUUCUCAUACGAGGGAGGCAAAGAACACAAAACAAUUAUUGCUUGGUCCUCAUCAUCGAUUUUGUUAUCGAUAUUAUUCAAAUCCAUGAUAAUGGAAUUGAAUUUAUCCAGGUGCUGGGAAACAGGUGUACCUUCCUCCAUCUUCAGGGCAUAGAGUCUUUGCUUGAGGUAGAGCCGGUUCGUCAAUGACUUCGUCAUGUACUUGCUUUCUAACCGGAGCCACAAACCGGACGCGGUUUUCUCAUCCGCUACUUCUCGUAGCACUUCAUCUCCUAGACAUAGCAGAAUAGCACUAUGUGCUCUUUCUAGCAUGUCAUCCUUUUGCUCUUCCGAAAGCGUGCUUGGUAAUUUAUCUUUACCAGACAAUGCUUUUAGCAAUCCUUGUUGAACCAGCACUGCCCGCAUCUUGAUGCGCCAUAAACUGAAACUAUUUUUCCCGGUAAAUUUCUCGACAUCAUACUUAGUCGAUGAAACACUUGUAGCCAUAAUUUGGAACCUUUGAAUGAAUGAUAAUAUUUUCUUCCUGAUGUGAAAGAUCAGACAAAGCUGCAGUCACAGGGCAAUUCAGAAAAUAUUAUCACUCCUUCAACUACGCUCUGAUACCAAUUUGUUGCGGAAAGGAUCGAUUCGAGAACUCCGAUAUGACUACAAGUAAAUUGACCGAAACGAAAAAUAAAGUGAACACAAGGAUUUACGUGGUUCGGCUUUAAUGCCUACGUCCACGGGCAGAGGCGAAAAGAAAUUUCACUAUAACAAGAUGAAGAUUACAAGUGUUUUACACUCAAGACACAACCCGAGAACCUCACAACUCUCAACCCCUAUAGAAAACCCGAAAGCUAAAAUCCUAGCUUUCAAAGAACAAGCUUUUCUCUCUCUUGGUUUGGGAUGAUCAAUAUGGCUAAUGAACCUCUCUAUUUAUAAGAGAGUUCAAGGACAUAAUUGUCCAAAACUUUGGCAAAGAUUUGUGGUUGAAAAUGGACACCAACAACCAUCCACUAAUCCACUACCACCAACAACCCACUACCAACAACAACAAUCCACUACCAAUUUUAAGCCAUUUCUUAACAAACAAGCUGAAUAAUACAAGUCUUUUCACGUCCCUUAGAGAUACUAAAGUUCCCUAAGAAAACAUUUGAAGAAAAGUAUUAGACUUAUUCUAUAUCAAUCCCACAAGGAAAGUUACAACUGAAAACACUCUGUAAAUAAUAGAAAUAAUAACUUUCUAAAAUCAAACACAAACACCAUAAGAAAGACGAUAAAAAGUGUAGGGAACAGUGAUGGUUUAGCAUUGGAAGCCAGUAGGAACGUUCCUUGAACAAACGUUGAGGAGCAAGCUAAGGGAAACUGGGAUGUUAAGGUUGAUGCCUAAAAUGUUAGCUCUGAUAGCGGUGCAAAGGCAUGCAGCGGCUUCGAGGUCGACAAGGCCAUUGAGAAGGGAACAGCAUGGCAUCACUGGGGGUGAACCAAUGGUGACAUUGACUAGGUUAAGCACAUUGGCACAUACACCUAAUUUGAGGGCAUCCCUAGGGCACCUGCCUCGUGCAGAUGGAGUAGGAGUGGGGGUGUUGGGGUUUGGGUUUGGCCUUGGUUUAGGGGUGGGUGAAGAGCAAGAGCCACAAGCACUGACUAGGGAAAAAAAGAGAAUGUUGAGUGCCAAAAGGAGGACCAUGGAAGCUGAUCUUUUAGAAGCCAUUUUGAUCUUCUCUCAAAACCUUAGUGGCUUACUUUCUUGGCUUUAGAGUUAAAAAGGUACAAGUGUUCGAGGAUGGGGAACUUGGAGUGAAGGAAGGGGGGGUUUUAUAGUGUUUCCAAGAAGGCUAGUGGGUUGUUUUUUUAAUGUUAGGUUAAUUGAUGAAAUUGUAGAAUAAAUCAAUUUGAUUUUUAUUAAGCUGACUUGUGAAGUUUGGUUGUUUGUGAUUUGUGAGGUGGAAAUUAACACACUACCAUGUUACCAUUGCUCCUAUAGGAUCAAUAAUACGUGGAUCUGUCUUAGCCUAACUUUAAAUGAAUACCCUCUUGUAAUGUUCCAUGUUCUUCCAAAUUAUAAGCAUAAUAGUGACAACUUACAAACCGCUAAGUAGAGACAAAAUGGAUUACAAAUUAAUAAUCUCUCUUUGUCAAACCUUUCAUGUUCUUCUUCAGCCAUUAGUACCCUUUAAACAGAUUUUCUGAACUUCAUUCACAUUAAACUCAAAUUUUAUUCAACUUCCCAAUGCAGUAAUAAACUUACUAUAAGCAGCUAAUGUAUGCAAAACCAACUUCAAAUAAUGGUUUCUACUUUAACUCAUUUAAUCAAAUUCAAAAGGGUGAUUGUUUUCCUUAAAAACCAUCUUUGAAUGGUACAAACCAGUUUGAAAUGCUUCCAUAUUAAUAUUCAAUAAUAUUAUUUUGAGAUUAUUAAUAAUUACUGCCAACCAACCUCCUUUUUUAUUAUUUUGUUCAAAAAUGGAUGCAAAGUGUUGGAGAUAUUGGCAUGUUGCCAAUGGAAGUUGUUAUAGCUGGAUUCGACUGGUAUGUCACGGGUGAACUUUAGAGCCUACCGUGGAUUCCACGCAAUUAGCCCUAUUUCUAACUUAAAAUGAAUGCUUAUGUUUAUAUCCAAAUUGAUAUUUUAAAUAUUAACUAAUUAUUUUUCAUUUCUAUAGUUCAAACGAUUAAAUUUAUAAGUAAAUUUCAACUAUUAAUAAAUGACCUGUAUUAAUAUAAGGCCUGGGGCCUUAGAACGAGACCAAAUAACUUGAAUCUUUUCUCUUCUCAAUUAUCUCCAAUAUUAUUAUUUCCUUUUCUUUUUUUUUUUACCUCAAUUAUCUUAUCUGAUAAUUUUUCGUUUUAUCCUAAAUAAAGUGAAUCACUCAUCUCGUAUAUCAAUAAAAUUUAAAUUAAACUCGUAAGUGAUUUGUGAAGAGGCUUAAAUACAAGUUUUAUCAUUUUUUGGGCGACGGCCCUUGAAUGCGUGCUACAAUCUUUAGCAUUUGACAAAUGUGAUUCCACCAUAUGAGGAAGCUAGAUCGUUGACAUUGAUUGCUUAAACAAAAGCUAUAAUUUCUUACUGUAGUUUCUAUGGAGAAUACAAAUAUCUUCGCAUUCAAACAAAAGAUUAUGAAUAUGUGUACUCCUGUAAAUUCCAAUAACUCUAAAAUAUUUAUUAACGGAGCAGAUUAUUACCACAUUAGGAAGAACAAAAAGGUGAAAUUUAUCAAUUUACAAAAUAAAUAAAUAAUUAUACAUUUAAAAAGAUAAAUGUUUGAAACAAUAAAAAAAAUUCCUUCAAAAUUAGCAUUUUCUCAAACAAAAAACUCUUUCAUUAUAUAUAGUAUGAAUCCAUUGAAAAAUCACCCAAACUUCUCUGCAGAAAUAUAAAAAUAAAUAAAUAAAAUAAUAAGAAAUUUUUCUAGAGCAAAGACCAAAUUGAUUUAUAUAUUCUUUUUUUUUUCUCUCUUGAAAUUUGACAAAAUUCCAUAAUACAAACAAAAUGUUGUAAUAUUGAGUUUUCCAAUUUCAAACCUUUGGAAAAAAAGGAAAGCAAUAUCCAGAAAAUCCGAAGCAAAUAUAACAGCGAUAAUGAAAUAAUUCCUUUUAUAUUACACAGAUCAGAUUAUCAAAUCAAUUUUUCAACUCAUUAGAAGGAGCUUUAGAAUAAAUUAUAUUAUAAUUACACAAAAAUAUUUGCCGACAAAAGAAUGUCACAGAAAGGUCUGACUUUAAUCAUCGGCUGCAUCAGGUCUGCUUACUUUGUUCAGUAUUUUGCCAUCCCGUGAAAAAUUAUUUUUAUAAGUUUUUCUAAUAAAUAUAAUAAUUCAAAAUAAAAAAAUAUUACUUUUAUUAAAAUAGUAACUGGGACAGAAGCAUAAUCGCAACUCACUUUUAUUAAUAUUAGAUAUUCAUUAUGAAUGGUUCAAAAUUCAGCAUAAAUAUCAAAUUUAUAUAUAAAUUUUAAUUUAAUGUAAUUAUACAUAUAAAAUAUAAAUUGUGAUAUCUAUUUAUACAAAAGAUUUUGUUUUUUAUUCAACUAUAUAUAUUAAAAAAAUAAAUAUAUACAUUUAUUUUUGUAUCAGAUUAAAAUAUUUGUUUGUAUAUGUAAUAUGUCAAUAUAAAAUGGUGCUAACUUAAUAAUAUUGUUAGUGAUUUGUGAAAAUUAAAUCAAAUCAAAAUUUUAUGUAUAAAAUCAUAUAAAAUUAAAGUUUAUGUAUUGUAUAACAUUGCACAUUGGAUCAAAUCAAAAUUAUUUUGUUAUUUUUCUGUUAUGUUAUUAAUAAAUUACACAAUCUAAGAAGUUUGGAUUUGGUAGCUUUAACUAUUAAAAUUAUCAUGUUUAAACAAAAGUUAGAAUAAAAAAAGAAAAGAAAAAAGAAGACAAUUCUGCAAGAAAAAAAGUUCAAUACAAAAUAUUUGUUAAUACUAUUAAAAUUCAUCAAUUCAACUUUACGAAGCUUCUCUUAGAAAAUGAUUUUACUCAAUAAUUAACCCGAUACUAUUAUUGUCUUAAGGCUAAUCUACCUUUUCACAGUAGAUGAUUAUAGUCUCAAAAUCAAACAAAAAUUGUUACAAUCACUCUUCUAAAAAUCUCACCUACAAUCAAUAAUAUCUCUCCAACAAAUACCUAAACAAAGAGUAUCACAAUACAUAAUAACUCUGUGCCAAAUCAAUGACAUAUUUUCAAAAAUCAAAUAACAAGCCUUCAAACUUUAAUCACCAAUCAUUUCAAACAAUAUUAUCCAUUAAAUUUCUCCAAACAAUUUGAUUAGUUUGAAUUCUUGAAAGAUAAGGAUAGAGUUCACACAUCUUUAAAUUCUUCUUUUCUCUUCAAGAGUAUUAUCCAAUAAAUAACAUUAAGCUUGAUCAUAUCUAGCUUCCUAAAUUACCUACAUUUAUUGCCUAAAUAUACUUUAUAAAAUAAUUACUUAAAUUAUAAUACCAACAAAAAUAUAAAUAAUUUAAUUGUCACAAACUGGUCUAUAAUAUUACCAUGAAACAUAGUCCACGUAUCAUUAUAAACUUUAAAUUAAAAGAGAAAAAAAAUGAUAGCUUUGACCACAGGUUUGGGGAUAACCAUCACUAAUGUGUUGAAUUAUGAGGAUAUUGUGGUUGAAAUCAAAAUGUAAAGCAAGUCCAGGGAAUCUUUGCCUUUUUUGCAGUCAAAUGAGAUUUUUCUAAUGUCUUUUUUUUAGUUUCCCAUUUUGGAUUUCUUACAUCAUCCUCAACAAAGUCUCACUCACGGACUCAAAAACUGUGCUUCCUAAUGAGUUUCAACUCAUAUUGUAUUUAUUAAGUUAAAUAUUAGCUAUAAUAUCUGUUAAAUAUGACUCCUAUUUUUAGUCAAAUUUGAAAAAUAAUCUUUCAGUUAAACUCUGUUCACUUGUUUCAAUCAAACAUUGUGUUUACGUUUUGAGGGUUCUUUGUUUUCGAAGUUUAGUCUUUAUCUCCAUCUUUUAUAUUCUUCGUUCUUUUGUCAUUAUAGUAAAAUUACCUUUACCCGUGGUUUUUUAUCCUCUUUGGAGGGAUUUUUUCACGUUAAAUUUGUGUGUUCAAUUUCUUAAUUUAUUUCGCUAUUUUUCUUGUUCGUUGCUUAAUCGAGUUGAUCCUAACAAUAUCUAUAAUAAAAUAAUAUAUAACAUUAAAUAAAUUGAGAUAAAUAGAGUUUUCGGCAGAACAUCAACGACUUUUGAUACAAUGUUGUACCAUUCUAAAAUGAAAUAUUUGAUGUGGAUAAGGAUAGUGCAUGAGGAUUUUCAAUUUUUGGAGGGAUAUUAGUCAUGUUGGCCUACAAAAUGUAGUGUCUCAAGCAACAUGGCAAACAAGGUUGCUUUCCAUUGGGAACCACCUCCUCCCGGGUGGAUAAAGUUUAAUGUGGCCGGUGUAGCUUUGGAAGACGAAGCGGGUUAUGGUGGGGUCUUGAGUGAUGAUAAAGGAGUGGCUUGUGCUUUGUUCUCAAAACCGAUUGUGGCCAAGUGAUCAGAAACAAUUGAGAUAAUAGUCAUUAAAACAGUCGUGGAACUAUAUAUUGGGUUGAGACGGCAGGUGAAAAUCUCAUUAAUUAUUGAAAUUAGUUUGUGUGUUGCUUUGGAGUCGCUGAUGAAUAGGAAUUAUAAAUUGUGGUCAUUAAGAAAUCUAUUUAGUGAUAUCAACUACAACAUUAACCAGCUGAAUUGAUUUCAAUUCGUACUUAUUCACCGGUAAGGUAAUGGUAUGGCUAAUGCUCUGACAAAAGUAAGUAUAUCAAGACCUUCGUUUUUUAUGGCCUGGUAAUGAAUUUUGCUUACUAUCUUUUAGUAGUGUUUGAGUGGAGGGUAUUUGUCUUAGGUUGAGUGUUGUAAUCUUGUUGUGCUUAAAAGAGGUUGCUUUUAUCAAACAUUUUUCUCGGUUUGCUAUAUUUUUCAAGAAAAAAGAAGAAGAAAUAAAACAAGUUAAAUAAUGUAAGUUUUUUCAUAUCCAUUGGAAAUACAAUAAACCCUCGUAGAAAAGCACUUAAAAAAGUAUUAGACUUAUUUUAUAUCAAUCUCCAUAAGAAAAUUUAAACAACAAAGUAUCUAAUGAUAAUAUUGAUGUACCGUAAAUACUGAAUCAUAAUUUUAAAAACCAAACACAAACACAAACACGAACACGAACACGAUAAGAAAGAUGAGAAAGAAUGUAGGAACAAUGAUGACUUAGCAUUGGAAACCAGUAGGAACAUUCCUUGAGCAAACGUUGAGAAGCAAGCUAAGGGAAACUGGGAUGUUAAGGUUGAUGCCUAAGAUGUUAGCUCUGAUAGCGGUGCAAAGGCAAGCAGCGGCUUCGAGGUCCACAAGACCGUUGAGAAGGGAACAACAUGGCAUCACCGGGGGUGAACCAACGGUGACAUUGACUAAGUUAAGCACAUUGGCACAUACACCUAAUUUGAGGGCAUCCCUAGGGCACCUACCUCGUGCAGAUGGAGUAGGGGUGGGAGUUGGCCUUGGGUUAGAGCCAGAAGAAGAACAAGAUCCACAAUUAGCACUGACUAGGGAAAAGAAGAGAAUGUUGAGGGCUAAAAGGAGGGCUGUGGAAGCUGAUCUUUUUGAAUCCAUUUUGAUCUUUUCUCAAAACCUUAAUGGCUUGCUUUCUUGGCUUUAGAGUUAAGGUAGAAACGUUUGAGGAUGAGGAACUUGUAGUGAAGGAAGGGGGGGUUUUAUAGUGCUUCCAGCAAGGCUAGUGGGUUAUUUUUUAAUGUUAGGCUAAUUGAUCAAAUUGUAGAUUAAAAUCAAUUUGAAAUCUGGCUGGUGAAGUUUGGUUGCUUAUGAUCUGUGAGGUGGAAAUUAGCACAGUGCCAUGUUAGAAUGCUCCUAUAGGAUCAAUAUGUGAAUUUAUCAUUCACUAAAUUACAUUAUUUGCAACGGUAUUUCAUUUAAGUAACAAUUCAAAAGCAUCAAAUAAUAUUAAGUUUGCUCCUUUUAUGAUAAUUAAUUAUAUUUCAAUUUCAAUUUAUUUUUUUAUAUAUGAAUCUAAUGAAUCAUGAAUAAACUCCGUACAUAUAAUUAAGUGUAAAAGACUUGAUGAAUAACUAUUAAGAGAAAAAAGUAUAAUAAAAAAUAUAUACAGAAAUGAGACAAUUUUUACAUUUAAAUUUCAAUGUAAUUGUAUUCCCCAAUAAUAUUGUUAUCAAAAUUUAAAUUCAUAUUUUGUUUUUAGAAAUACAAUGUAUCUUACAACAACACCCUAUACUUAUUGUUAAUGAUAUCAGUUUCUCUUUUUAAGACUUCUAAACAACUGUAGUUAAUAAUAUUAUCAUUUUGUUUACUUCAAGUUUAAAUGAAUAUCUCCAUAAUAUUCCAUGUUCUUCCAAAAUAUAAGGAUAACAGUGACAACUUACAAACCGCUAAGUAGAGACAAAAUGGAUUACAGAUUAAUACGUACUCUCUCUUUGUCAAACCUUUCAUGUUCUUCUUCAGCCAUUAGUACCCUCUAAACAGAUUUACUGAACUUCAUUCACAUUAAACUCGUAAUUUAUUCAAAGUUCCCAAUGUUCAACUUAAUUGCACUAAAAAAACUUACUAUAAAGAGCUAAUGGAUCCAAAACCGACAUUAAACAAUGGUUUCUACUUUAGCUCAUUUAAUGGAACUCAAAAAGGGUUUUUGUUUUCCUUAAAAAGCAUCUUCGAUGGUACUGCAAUUUCGUUGUAAAAUAAGGUAUGGAAUCUGAAGCUUAUGAGAAAACAAGAUUUAAUGGAAACACAGAUCAGUUUGAGAUGCUCCCUUAUUAAUAUGCAAUAAUAUAAUGGGAUUAUAAAUAAUUACAGCCAACCAACCUUUUUUUUUCUUUCGGUUCAGAAAUGGCGUAUUGUAGGUGCAAAGUGUUGGAGAUAUUGGCACGUUGUCAAUGGAAGUUUUGUAGCUGGAUUCGACUGGAAGUGUCACGGGCGAGCUUUAGAACCUACCGUGGAUUCCACGCAAUUACCCCUAUUUCUAAUUAAAAAUAAGCUUAGGUUUUAUGCUUAUCUGAUUAGUUAUGUUUAAAUCCAAACUGAUAUUUUAAAUAUUAAUUAGUUAUGAGUAACAAACAUAUUUAUUAAUUGUCACACUAAGAGUUAAUUAUCGUGUCUUAUGUGAUAUGACUUAAGACACGUUAUAAGUGAUCUUUAUCAAAACUUCUAUUAGGUCACUUGUCCUUGACUCGUCAAUAACAACCCGAUAUGUAGAACCUAAAGACAGGGGACAACAACUGUAUAAGGCCUGGGGCGUAAGGACGAGGUCAAAUAACCUAAAACUCCUCUCUUCCCAAUUUAUCUCCAGCAUCAUCUCCUUUUCUCUUUCUACUCCGACCACUCUAUUCAAUAACUCAUCCAUUUGUUCUAAACAAGAUGGAUCACCUAUAUCUGCAACCUACUUAUCCUGAUACCAGCAUAUUAAAUAAAAGAAUUAAUGAAUUAAACUCAUAUUAUAAUACUCAAUUUUAAUUUAAUAAUUUUUAUCCACUAAGACAUUGUUCCACUCCAUUGUUAAGUAAGAAAAUCAACUUCGUUUAGGAGAGAAUGAAAAGUAACCUCGAUCCAAUUUUCGCCAGCUUUGAUAUAUUUUGAUAAAUGGGAGCAAGGGCAGAGCAAAAAAAGUCAUUUUAGGGAAUUAAAAUUAAAUCAUAAAUAUUGAUGAUUGAAAUUUAAUUUUAUUAUAAUUUUAAACACAAUCUUUUAAGUUUAUUUCCUUUUGGCAAUUGUGAUUCCAUCCAAUGAGGAUUGCUUAAACAAAAGGAAUAAUUCCAAUGAAUCUAAAAUAUUUGUUAAAAAAACUUUAGGCUUAUAAAAUUAUAUAGACAGAGUAAAUUGGUUAGUUCAUAGAUAAAAGCAUUCUGAUUAAACUAAUAGAUUAUCACCAUAUUAGAAAGAACAAAAAUAUAAGGACAAAAAGGUGACACCAAAUUCAUCAGGUCAAUUUUAUAGUUAAUAUAUGAGGUUUGUGGUUUUUUUUUUUAACAAUGUUGCAUUUAAAAUUUGAGUUUAUAUUUUUUCUUUAAAAUUGUAAUGUACCUUACCACUGUACUCAACAUUUUUUGUUGAGACUAAUUAUAUUUUAUGGUUCCCGCUGAAUUUAAAUAUGGUACAUAAUAAAUGAAUAAAUUCAAAAGGUGAAAUAAAUAGAAUAAUAAGCAUUUGUUGUCGACCAAAACUUAAAAGAGAAGGAGACCAAUGAAAGAAUCUACCAAAAACAACAAUGAAUAUAGAACAAAAGAGAGACUAGAUCUGAUCUAUCAUUUAAGAAUAGAGAGAAAACCUUACUUCUCAAACUGUGAAUAACUUGCUUUAUACAGAGAAGAAUAACAACUGUUGCUAACAAAUUCUAAAUAGACCAACUUCUAAACAGACUAAUUACUCCACCUAACUCUUAAUUACUCUAAUAACCAAACUUAUUUAUAUAUUUAUAUACUCUUUGUAGUGGGCCAAAUUUGCCCGGCCCGUACAAAGACAAAAACAAAACAAAAAUAAGUCACAAAAAAUAAUAAAAACCCAAUAAAUAUUAUAACAGUCCAUUAAAUGUCCUUUUACAGACUUUGACCCAAUCACUAACCCAAUACCCAAACUAAUACCCUAGCCCAAACUUAUUACAAGCCCAAACCUAGACCCAAAUAUCCCACAGCCCAAAAACAAAAAAAUCAGGCAGAACCCUAGCAGUUUCUGCUUGCGCCGCAGCAGCCCCAGCCUCCGUACCCUCCAGCGACCACGCCCGUGCCUCCGUACGCCCCACGCCAAGAGCCAACGCAUGCCAGCACGCGCCGUACCUGCAAAAGGACGAACGCAGCAGCAAAUACGAACAAAAAAUUUGUGUUUUAUUUUAUGUUUAUUUUGAUUUGUUUUUUUGGGGAUUUCGGCUAUAAAGCCUUUGGAUUUUCGAUUGUAAAGUUUUCCUUUUUUACACAUAUAUGCACAGAGAAUAGAAGAGCAAUCAAAAAAUAUUGAGAGGUGAUUUCAAGCACCUUAUAUUUCUAUUCUUCGAAUCUGUUUCAUUUUUUUUUCCUUUCGUUUUGUUUUUUUUAGUAUAACGAAAUAAAGAAGCAACCUUACCUUGCGAAUAGGCCGCCAAUCCUCUUUUGCUUCGUUCAAAUCGAAGUCAAGAAGGGAUUUUCAGGCUGAAAAUCGAUUCGUCAGAGCCUCCAAACCCCUGGUCGCUGUUCUUGGUGGUGGAUCAGUGAUGGGGUUAAAAGGGGAUUAGGGAUUUGAAAAAUCAACAGAAUGGGUGCAUGUUGAUUUCGGCUAGUUUAGUCUAUAUAAAAGACUGGGAACGACGCCAUUUUGACCAAUUUUGAUGGUCUAGAUACGACGCCGUGUGGUGGCCUUCACCCGAUGACCCGAGCCAUGCCUGGUUAAGACCCGUGUGUUAGGUCUGGGAGGGAUAUUUUCACCUUAAGUCCUUUUUUUCUGCGUCGUGUUGCAAUUGAGUUCUAUUUGCUUUUUUUCCUUUGUUUUUAAUUUAUUCCUGUAAUUUACCAGUGAAGUCAAUUCGAUCCGCGCUUAAACGCAACAUUUUGGGAUCUGGUAUAUUGCCAGUUUUAGUCCUUAUACGUUUUUGCGCAUUGAAUAUUGGUCCUUUUAUUAUUACUUUUUUAUUUUCAAAUUAUCCCUGCUGUUUUAGUUUAAUUCCAAUUAAGUUUUCUUUAUUUUAUAGCCUUUUAUUCUUAAUUAUUUAUUCGCACAUUUUAAACUACCUAGGAAAUUGUUUCUUUCUUAUUAUAAAUCUAUUUUAGUAAUGUCAUCUUCACAUUUUGUAUAUUUCAUGUAAAUGUUUUUUGUAUACACUAUUAUAUAUAUGUAUAUAUAUACUUUGUAUUAAAGUUGGUUUUAUUUCGUAUAUAUAUAUACUAUUAUCAACCUUAUAUUAUUUUUAUACAUAUGAUUCCUUAAAUUUAUUCUUGUAUUUUAUUAUAUAAUCCUACGUAAUACAUCUUUUAAAUUAUUAUUAUAUAUGUAUAUAUUUAUUAAUAUCUAUAUUUGAUCUAUAUAUAUUAUUAAAUCUACGUAUUUUAUACAUAUAGUUUUCUUCAUAUAUAUAUAAGCAUAUUCUUCAAUCUACUAUAUAAUUUAUAAUAAAAUUAAUUUAAGCUUGUAUGUAUUUCUAUAUUUUUACAAAUAAUUAUAUUUAAAAGUUAUUUAUGUAUACAUAUAUAUGAUUUGUAAAUCCAUUAUGUUUUAAAAAAAAAUUAUAUUUUAUGGUACAUUAUUAUUAUUUAUAUCUUAUACAUAAUUUAAAAUUGUCAAUUUUAGACCAAAAUUCUUUAAUACUUUGCAUAUCAUUCAAUUUGAAAAUAUUCAUCCUAUAACAUAUAUUUUAGAGAUUGUGUAUAUAUCUUUAGUUUGUUCUUACAAAUGGUUUUAAAUUCAUCUAUAUAUAUAUUGUGUAAUUUAUGUAUUCAUUUAUUCGUCACUAUUUUAAAAUUGUCCUAUACCACAUUGACCUCCAAAUCCCAUUUUGUUUUGUAUAUGAUUUGUUGAUUGAUUUAUAUUGUGCCACAUUUAUCAUUGUUGUAUAUGAUCCAUUCAAUGUUUUAUCAAUUGUUUGUCACCCAUGCUUGUGAGUUUGAUUAUCAUUUCUAGAUCAGCUAUGCUUAGUUAUUAGGUUGUUAAUUGGUAUUGCAUUUUAUGUGUGUAUUAUCCCAUAUCAUUGUUUUCCACUUGAUUUAUGAAAUUUGGUUUUAUAAGGUCCAAACCUUUAAGAUUAAUUCUGUUUUAUUUCGAGUCAAAUUAAUACGUUUUAAGCUAGUUUUAUAAUUAUUUAUUUAAAAAUUCUUUAAAACGAAGGCAAUAUUCGAUAUUUGGCAAUUCGCGAAAUCGUGCCCUAACAUGCUGGGUUGCAAGUUCUCGUUUGCUCAAAAUAAUCGAAUGUCCCUUUAAAAUUUCAUUCAUAUUUUCUAAAAAUUCUUUAAAACGAAGGCGAUGUUCGAUAUUUGGCAAUUCGCCGAAUCGUGCCCUAACAUGCUGGGUUACAAUUUCUCGUUUGCUCAAAAUAAUCGAAUAUCUCUUUAGAAUUUCAUUCUAAAAACUCUUUAAAACGAAGGAAAUGUUCAAUGUUUGGCAAUUCGGGGAAUAGUGCCCUAUCGUGUUGGGUUGCAAUCUCUCGUUUGUUCAAAAUAAUCGAAUAUCCCUUUUGAAUUUCACUCGUGUUUUCUAAGGCGAGGCAAUGUUCAAUGUUUGGAAAUUCGAGGAAUCGUGCCCUACUGUGCUGGGUUUCGGUUUUUCGUUGGACUAAAUAGUUGAGCAUCCUUUUGUAAUUUUCAAUUUAUAAACUUUUGGAAGUCAAAAUCUAUCGUGUUUUCGAGGGUAUAAAGGAUCGUGUCCUACCGUGCUGGAUGUGAUGCUAUAUUCCUCUGAAACAAGAAGAUUUUGACGACCAACUCGGGUUAUUCAAAUGUUAUUAAAAGGAACCUCAUUUCAAAAACAUUUUUAAAUCUUAGACAUAAGGACAGUAUUUAAUCGAUUUGGUACCAAUUUUGGGCAUAAUGAGGGUGCUAAUCCUUCCUCAUAUGUAACCGACUCCCGAACCUGUUUUCUCAAAAUUUCGUAGACCAAAAUCAUUGUUUUAGUAAACCAAAAUGUUUUAUUAAAACAACCAAAUUUCUAGGUGAUCCGAUCACACCUAAACAAAAAAGGAUAGGUGGCGACUCCAUAUUUUAUUUUCAAAAAGUCGAUACCCAGUUUUUUUCAUUUAAACAUAAAAUUUAAAAAAAAAAUAGUUUCGACACUCUUUUGUUCCCUCUUAAAGUUUGACAAAAUUACUUAAUACAAACAAAAUGUUGUAAUAUUGUGCAUUCCAUUUUCAAACCUUUGAAAAAAGGAAGCAAUAUCCACAAAAUACUAAGCAAAUAUAAUAACAGCUAAGCCUAAGAUAAUGAAAUAAUUCCUUUCAUAUUACACAAAUCAUAUUAUCAAAUGAAAAUUUUCAACUCAUUAGCUUACUCAAACAAUUUUAUAUUAUAUUGAUAUUUUUUAUAAAUUUAUAUUUAUAAAAUUUGUAACAGUCCGAUUUUCGGCUUAGUCGGAACAGUAGUUUCGGGACCACAAAUCCGAAGUCAAGAAAUUAUUCUUAUUAUUAUUUUGGCGUCAUAGUAUGAUUAUAUGAGUGUAUGAAAAUUUUGGUGAAUUAAUUUUAGCGUUGUGAGCGUAAUUGUGAAAAAGGAGUAAAUCGCAUGACUAAUCAAGUUCUUGUUAGAUUGUUAAAGUGUAAUGUGGUUGUAUUAGAUAUCUUGUUGUGGUUGAAUUGGCUUUGUGUUGCCGUGUGAAUUGGUGGUAUGUAUUGCUUUGUAGGUAGGUAAGUAAGGGUGGCAAAAAGGCUUGGUAGAUAGCCUAUUUUUGUCCACACGGCUAGACACACGGGCGUGUGCCGAGGCCGUGUGUGACACACGAUCAGCCCCAUGGGCGUGUUGUUUGACUAUGUGCCCCCUGCACCUCAAAUUUUCAAGUCAGUAUGCAUGGUAGUAAACACACGGGUAGAGACAUGGCCGUGUGUCUCAGCCGUGUGGAGGACACAGCGUUUGGCCACGGGUGUGUGCCUUGGCCGUGUGUCUCUAAUUUGUUGCUGACGUCAGAAAUAGAAUGUCAAGGUUUUUACACACAGGCUGCAACACGGGCGUGUCAUGGCCGUGUGAGGGAGACAGGUUAUAGACACGGGCGUGUGCUCAGCCGUGUGAAAACCCCUUGUAGGUUUGAAUUUGAAAUUUAAUUCACAUGGCCUCGGGGCACGGGGGUGUCCCCUUGUGCUUAGGCCGUGUGAACCACACGGGCCUUUAGCACGGCUGGGUCAAAAUGGUCACACGGGCGUGUCAUCUUUCCACAUGAGCAUGUGCCCCUAUCUCAAGUUACAUUUUUUUUCAAAGUCUUUAAAGAUGUUCGGUUUAAUCCCGGAUAGUUUCCCAAGGAUGAUUUGGGCCUUAUAGGCCCAUAUUGAGAAUUUUUAGAUUAAGAGCGAAAAGUUUUAAAUUUGAUUUUGUUUUUAUAACUAAGAAAUGAUCGUAUGCCUGCGUUUAAGUCAGGUAAUGCCUCGUGCCCAGUCCUAGUCUCGGACUCGGGUGAGAGGUGCUACAAAAUUAAUUCAAAAUAAAAUCUUAAUUUUAUUAAAAUAGUAAUUCAAAUACAUAAGACUAGAACCAUGAAGCAAUUCUAAGCAUGCCGACAGACAGAAGCAUAUGAUGUUAAUGAUAUAUGCAAGGGUGGUUCGGUUCUUGAAUAAUUGCAAUAAUUGUAAAAUUUAUGUAUAAACAUUAUUCCAAUUUACAAUUUGAUACAUGAACUUUGAUUUGAUGUAAUUACACAUAUGAAAUUUGAAUUGUGAUUCAUAUGUAUGCAAGAAAUUUUGAAUUUGAUUCAAUUGUGCAGAUUUAAAAAAAUGAAUACAAUAAUUUAUAUUCGUAUCGGAUUGAGAUAGUUGUUUGUGUAUGUAAUAUAUCAACAUAAAAUGAUUCUAACUCAAUGAUGUUAGUGAUUUAUAAAAACUGAAUCAAAUAAAAUUUUCAUGUAGAAAAUCGCACAGAAUCAAAAUUAUGUAUAACAUUGCACAUUGGAUCAAAGUACAUGUAUAAAUUUGAUAUUCAUCUCAUUUUAUUAUUAAUAUUUUUCAAAUUCGUUAAAAUAAAUUAUUUUUUUAUUCUUCUAUUAUGUCAUUAAUAUUUUUCUAUUGUUUCAAGUUAUUAUUCUGUUAGUUGUUCGAACAGAAGUUGGAAAAAAUAUAUAAAAUAAGACAAUUUUUCAAGGACAAAGCUCGGUACAAAAUAUUUGUUAACGUUGUUCAGAUUUAUAAAUUUUAUUUUACGAAACAUCCUUCCAAAGAAUGAUUUUACUUAACAAUUAACCCAGUACAAUUAUUAUCUUAAAUUCAAUCUACCCUCUUACAAUAGAUAAUUACAGUCCCAAUUCAAAUUACAAUCACUUUUCUAAAUAACAUUACUUACAAUCAAGAAUAUAUUUCCAAUAAAUACCUAAAGAGUGUCUAAUUGCACAAUCAUCAGCUCUCGAUUUAUCAAAUUCAAAAAACUGCCUACUUGUGUAAAUCGACAACAUAUUUAUAUGCUUUGAAAAGCCUUAUCUUGCUUCCAAAAAAAUCAAAUAAAAUUUCGAAAUAGGCUCCUUUAACAACAAUUUGAUUAGUUUCAAAUCUUCAAAGUGGUGUUAUCCAAUAGAUAAGAUUAAAUAUAGGUUUGGAUGGACAGUAUGGUAUAGUAUGCUGUGGAGCGUUUAGUUUUCUUUUUUUUUUUACGUUAUAAUUUUGUUAUAAUAUCUAAUCUCACCACCACCAUUAUUUUUACAUUAAUCAUAAGUAAAUGCACUGUCCAUUCAAUUUCAUCAAGACAAAAAAAAAUCAUCUAGCUUUACCUACAAAAUUACCUAUACUUAUUGCUUAAAUGCACUUUAUAUAAUGACUUAGAUAAGUCAUACAAGUCAAAAAAAUAUAUCAAUAAAUAUAUAAAUAUUUUGAUUGUCUCAAACUAUUAUUUUAAUUGUCAUUCAAAUAAGGAAUAAAAUAAAUUUAUUAAAAAGAUACCGUCUAACCGUUAUAUUUCAUAGUCUAUUCAUGUAAAUCAUAUAUGUCACAUUUGAUAUAAAUUUAAAUUUUUUAACUAUUUUUUUAUGUAACCGUUGAAUAUAUAUUAAUAUAUCGAGUAUUUUAGAUCAAUAUGAUAAAGAUACUAAAUCGAUUUGAAAAUUUACAUGCAUGGCAAGUAUAAUUAUAUUGAUAAAUUCAACGAUUAAAUAAUUAAAAUAUUAAUUAAUCCUAUAAAUAAUUAUAGAAAUAUGUAAAAUUGCUUUAAUUUUACACUUAGACACCUCCCACAAUUAUAUAAAGCAUUAAAUAAAUCGACAAGGAAACUAGAAGAAAGGAAAUAAAACAAGUUGAAUAAUACAAGUCUUUUAAUGUCCUUUAAAGAUACAAUAACCCCUCAAAAGAAAACAGUUGAUAGAAAAGUAUUAGAUUUAUUAUUUUGUAUCAAUCUCCCCCAAGGAAAUUAAAACAACAAAGCUACAGAUGAAAACACUGAUUUAAUGCAAAUACGAGAAAUUAUAACUUUUUAAAAUCAAACACAAACACCAUAAGAAAGAUGAGAAAGAAGGUAGACAACAAUGAUGACUUAAUUAGCAUUGGAAGCCAGUAGGAGCGUUCCUUGAGCAAGCAUUGAGAAUCAAACUAAGGGAAACGGGGAUAUUAAGGUUGAUGCCUAAGAUGUUAGCUCUAAUAGCAGUGCAAAGGCAUGUAGCAGCGUCGAUGUCGACAAGGCCAUCGAGAAGGGAACAACAUGGUGACACUUGGGGUGAGCCAACGGUGACAUUGACUAAGUCAAGCACAUUAGCACAUACACCUAAUUUGAGGAUAUCCAUAGGGCUUGUGCAGAUGGAGUGGAGGUGAGGUUAGAGCCGGAGGAAGAGCAGGAUGGACAAAUAGCACUGACUAGGGAAAAGAAGAGAAUGAUGAGUGCCAAAAAGAGGGUCAUGGAAGCUGAUCGUUGAAGCCAUUUUAAGCUUUUCUCAAAACCCUAGUGGCAAUUGCUUUCUUUGCUUUAGAGUUAAAAAGUAGAAGUGUUUGAGGAUGGAGAACUUGGAGGGAAGGAAAGGGGUUUUAUAAUGUUUCCAACAAGGCUAGUGGGUUGUUUUUUAAAUGUUAGGUUAAUUGAUCAAAUUAUGGAAAAAAAAUGAAUUUAAUUUUUUUUUCUUACCCAACAUUCAACAUUUAUUGGUAAUAACAUUAUUUUGUGUAAUUUAAAUUUAGAUAAAUAUUCCCGAUAUCUAUCGGAGCAAACCCAAUAACUAAUCCUCCACGUUUUGUAGGAGUCCAUUAAAGAGUAGAUGUUGACCACAAGUUUUAAAGUUGCUCCAUACUUAGGGUGAGAAUCGAACCUUCAACUAUUGGUUAAAAUAAGAGAGACCCUUUCCAUCUCACUUAACUCGUGUGAUUAUAUUUUUCAAUAUUAUUAAACAUACAUAUUUAAUUAUUUAUAUUUAGUCAUAUAAUAAAUUAUUAAUAUAAUUAAUAUAAUUUAUCAUUUUAAAAAUUUAUUUAAUAUUUCAAUUUUAUUUUAAUAAUAAAUUUUAAAAAUAAUAAUUUUACAUAAUAUUCUUCACAUAUUGUUGAAAAUAUUUAAUAUUAAUAUUUUAAUAAUGAAUAUUUAUUACAAUUAUAAAUAUAUUAAUAAUAAAUGUUUUAUACUAUAAAGGUUAAAAUAUGCCAUAAGUCUAUAUACUGUUCACAAAUUUACAAUUUAGUCUCUCUACUUUUUAGAUUUGAAAAUCAAGUCCAAUUGUUGACCUUGUUAAAAAAAAAUUUUGCUAAUUUUGUUGAUGUCACAUUUUUAAAUAAAAAUACUCAUUUGGUAGUCAUGUAACUAAAAAAUAAUGUAGUGAACCUGAAUUUAAUAAAAUAUUUUUAAUAUAUGCAAGUAAACUAUAAAUUUAUAGAUAUAAAAUAAACUCAAUUAAACAAUGAAAAAAUAAGAAAAAUCUCAAAUGUACGUUUGUUUUAUUGAAAACAGCUUUUAUGAAAUAUUUUUAAGAAAUCUGUCAAAUAACAUAAAAUAUUUUACAUAGAUUCAUCCAAACACCAGAAAAUAUUAACUUUUCUAGGGAAGUAAGUCAUUUUUCAGAAAUUAUUUUCCGGAAAUCAUUUUCAGUAAAACAAACAAACCCUUAAUGGAACUCAAAAGAGUUAUUGUUUUCCUUAAAAAGCAUCUUUAAUGGUUUAAACCAGUUUGAGAUGUUUUUUGUAGAGAAUUAUUUGAUGGAGAGAGCAAGCGUUGCAAACAAGGGAAUAAGGUAUAUCAAAAAAAGGUGGAGAGGAAGACUGGAGUAGAUUUUGUAACACUGAGCGUAGCGACACGUGGUGAUUGAUAAGUGGAGAAAGGGAAAUUUGGCUGAUGAUAAUGCCAAACAAAGAAAAUAACUUAGAGAAUCUUGAGAGAAAGUUUUAAGAAUCAAAAUGCCAAAAUAUCAAAAAUCCUUUCACCAGUUGUGAAAAGCUCCUAUUUUUAGUGUUUCAAGAAUAGGGGUUACAAAGCUAGCAACUAAUGAGAAUACAAAUCGAUAUUUUUUAGUUACAAAGGCGCUAAUGAUUCUUUUUAUUAUGAAAGGAUAUUGUAGGUGAUGGUGAGGGUUACAAAGCUAACAACUGAUGAGAAUAAAAAUUGAUAUUUUUUAGUUAUAAAGGCAUUAACGGUUCUUUUUAUUAUGAAAGGAUUUUGUAGAUUAUGGUGAAUAAUGAAUAAGAAUUCACUAUAUUUCUAAAAAAAGGGAAGAAGCAUUCAAUGUUACAGUAAAAGGUUAUGAGGAAAACCUCUUAACUAUCUCCAUAUCUAAUCCACCAAAUCAAGCUCUUGGAACAUCUCAAAUUUGAAGAUAACCCAAGAACCCUGCCAUAUUCUGAGGUCCCUUCCACUUCUUCUACUUUGGAGAAGCGGUACCAUGUGAAACACCUUUCAUGAAACAUCUCUUGAAAUGCAAGACAAUGGUUGUUCUUGGAUGAAAGUUGUUCCUAAAUAAUGGCUAUUUUGACUUGUUUCAAACAUGAAUUGUUCUCAACAUAGUUGUUUUCAAUGUAGAGGUUGUUCCAAAAAAAAGUUGUUCUGUGGUAAUGAUUUUCUUGGUAGAGUUUGUUCUAAAUAAUAGCUCUUUCAAAAAAACACAAUUGUUCUAAAUACAAUAUAUUUCAAACAAUGGUUGUUCUAAACAUAGCUAUUCAUUAAACGCCAUUAUUCUAAGCAAUAGCUUUUCUGAACUUUAGUUGUACUCAACAAGAGUUGUUCUCAAAUAGAAACUACAUUGCAUGACAGCUAUUUUGAACAAAAAUCCUUUUCUGAACAUAGUUGUUCUCGACAUAGCUAUUCUCAAACAACGGUUGCUUAGAAGAACAAAGUUUAUGAAAAUUUAUUGUUUUCCUGGAAGAGAUAAUAAAUGAAGUAACGUUGCUAUUUGUUCCGAGUUUGGCAACUAAGUAUCUACACUUCCUUAUCAAUAUUCUAAUAUUAUUAAUAAUUACUGCCAAAGGGCCUUUUUUUAUUUGAUUAUAAAAUUACAUUUUGUAAGUGCAAAAUGUUGAAGAUCGAUGGAGAGUGUCACGAGCAAGCUUUACAACCUACCUUGGGUUCCACGUAAGUAGCCCCAUUUCUAAUUAAAAAUGAGUUCAGCUUUUUAUGGUUAUCUGAUUAGUUAUGUUUAAGUCCAAUUUGAUAUUUUGAAUAUCGGUUAAUUAUGUUACAUUUCGUUAUGAUAGUUCAAGCCGUCAAGUGCUCAAGCAAAUCUCAAUUAUCGUGUCUCAUUUGAUAUGACCUAAGACACAUCAUGAACUAUCACAUUAUAUCUAAAUUACCGUAUUUUAUCUGAAAUGAUUCAAGACAUAUCAUAGUGUCAUUCUACCUAAGUCUAUGGCACUAGGCUACUUUUCCUUGACUUGUUAAUAGCAACCUGACAUGUGGCACUCUGGAACAAGGGACAUGUAUAUAAAGGCUAAGACCUAAGAACAAGAACAAUCAGCCCAAACCUCCUCUCUUCCCAACUGAUCUCCUGCAUCAGGUCUCCUUUUCUCUUUCUACUCAACCAUCUUAUCUAGUGGCUCUCUGCCUUAUUAUAGACAAGGUGAACUAUCCAUCUCUACCACCUACUUAUCCUUAUCAACAAACUAAAAUAAAAAAUUUAAAUUAAACUCAUAAGUCGCUCAUAUUUAUAUUAUGAUACUCAAAUUCUAUAUAAUUCAAUUUAAAAAAAUUUAAUUUAAUAAUUUUAACCACUAACACAUUGUACCACUUCAUGUAUUGUUAAGUAAGGAAAUCAACCUCAUUUAGGAGAAAAUGAAAAACAACCCUAACCCCAUUUUCAUCAGCUUUUAAUAUUGUGAUAAAUGAGAGUAAGGGUGGAGUUGAAAAAUCAUUUUAAGAGAAUUAAAAUUAAAUUAUAAAUAAUAAAAUAUAUAGCUCACACUUACACUAAUAAGUGUCAAUUUUCUCACUAUUUUUAUGAACUCUUUAGAGUUUUUUCAUGUAAAGAAAUUUACAAAAGUGGUCUUAUAGUUUAAAAUUAUUUAUGAGAGAGAAAACCCAUAGUUUAAAGUCAUUUAUAUAUAAUAUGAUAUACAUUAUGUAACACCCCGAAUUUUGAGGUUAGAAGUUUUGAGUUUUGUGGUUAGGGUCAGUGAGUAGGUUGUGCUAUUGUAUUUAGUUGCGUGUUUAAGUGAUAGAAUGAGCUUGCUAGUUUGGUGGUUAGUCGUGUUAGUGUAACUUUGGGAUGCAUGUUUGAAUCAUUGUGUGUGCAUUUUGGAGAAAUAUUUUUAUUUUCAUUAAAUAGUAAAUUUGUUUUAAGUUUAAAAAUAGAUAUUUAGUUUUAUUUUUAUUAUUUUUGUUACUUUUUUUUUCACGUUCUCCUCUCCCUUUCCUUUGUUGUUUUUAUUUUUAUUUUUUAUUUUUUUCUUUUGGAAAACAAUUUUGCUUGUGGAUUUCGGAGAGCUUCGCUCCUUUGUCGUCAAGUCGGUGUCUGAACAUCAUUGAUCACAAAUCAAGUGUGGGUUCAAACUCUUCAAUUUCAAUUUACUAUCUCGAUAGUGUGGAACUUGACAUGUUCUAAGUGUUUUGGUGAAUGUGUGGUAAGUUUUGCUGCUAAGUUUCGUAAAACUUGGUUUUCUAUAGUGUGUUUCUGAUCUAUUAGAGUUUAGGGGGCAUUUGGUGUGUGAAUUCACAAUUUGCAGGAUAUUUUGAGGUGGUUUCGGGACCAUAUGGGCGACAAUACGGGCGUGUACUGGUUCACACGGCCAUGUGAAAUUGAGGAUUAGGGUUUU
rnacentral:lncRNA from 1 species